rnacentral:rRNA from 1 species
UACGUAGGGUGCAAGCGUUGUCCGGAAUUAUUGGGCGUAAAGAGCUCGUAGGCGGUCUGUCGCGUCUGCUGUGAAAACUCGGGGCUUAACCCCGGGCCUGCAGUGGGUACGGGCAGACUAGGGUGCGGUAGGGGAGACUGGAAUUCCUGGUGUAGCGGUGAAAUGCGCAGAUAUCAGGAGGAACACCGGUGGCGAAGGCGGGUCUCUGGGCCGUAACUGACGCUGAGGAGCGAAAGCGUGGGGAGCGAACAGG